rnacentral:rRNA from 1 species
UACGUAGGGCGCAAGCGUUGUCCGGAAUUAUUGGGCGUAAAGAGCUCGUAGGCGGCUUGUCACGUCGGGUGUGAAAGCCCGGGGCUUAACCCCGGGUCUGCAUCCGAUACGGGCAGGCUAGAGUGUGGUAGGGGAGAUCGGAAUUCCUGGUGUAGCGGUGAAAUGCGCAGAUAUCAGGAGGAACACCGGUGGCGAAGGCGGAUCUCUGGGCCGAUACUGACGCUGAGGAGCGAAAGCGUGGGGAGCGAACAGG